rnacentral:rRNA from 1 species
UACGGAGGGUGCGAGCGUUGUUCGGAAUCAUUGGGCAUAAAGCGCGUGUAGGCGGCCCACUAAGUCUGAUGUGAAAGCCCGGGGCUCACACCCGGGAAGUGCAUUGGAAACUGGUGGACUCGAGUCCCGGUGAGAGGAGAGUGGAAUUCCUGGUGGUAGCGGUGAAAUGCGUAGAUAUCAGGAGGAACACCGGUGGCGAAGGCGGCUCUCUGGACGGUGACUGACGCUGAGACGCGGAAAGCGUGGGGAGCAAACAGG